GGCAGCACAGCAGAGCUUGCUCUGUGGGUGGCGAGUGGCGGACGGGUGAGUAAUGCAUCGGGACCUACCCAGACGUGGGGGAUAACCUCGGGAAACCGGGACUAAUACCGCAUACGUCCUACGGGAGAAAGCGGGGGAUCUUCGGACCUCGCGCGGUUGGACGGACCGAUGUGCGAUUAGCUAGUUGGUAGGGUAAAGGCCUACCAAGGCGACGAUCGCUAGCUGGUCUGAGAGGAUGAUCAGCCACACUGGAACUGAGACACGGUCCAGACUCCUACGGGAGGCAGCAGUGGGGAAUAUUGGACAAUGGGCGCAAGCCUGAUCCAGCAAUGCCGCGUGUGUGAAGAAGGCCUUCGGGUUGUAAAGCACUUUUAUCAGGAACGAAAUACCACGGGUCAAUAACCGGUGGGGCUGACGGUACCUGAGGAAUAAGCACCGGCUAACUUCGUGCCAGCAGCCGCGGUAAUACGAAGGGUGCAAGCGUUAAUCGGAAUUACUGGGCGUAAAGGGUGCGUAGGCGGUUCGUUAAGUCUGUUGUGAAAUCCCCGGGCUCAACCUGGGAAUGGCAAUGGAUACUGGCGAGCUAGAGUGUGUCAGAGGAUGGUGGAAUUUCCGGUGUAGCGGUGAAAUGCGUAGAGAUCGGAAGGAACAUCAGUGGCGAAGGCGGCCAUCUGGGACAACACUGACGCUGAAGCAC
rnacentral:rRNA from 1 species